AUUGAACGCUGGCGGCAGGCUUAACACAUGCAAGUCGAGCGAGCGGCGGACGGGUGAGUAAUGUCUGGGAAACUGCCUGAUGGAUGGGGAUAACUACUGGAAACGGUAGCUAAUACCGCAUACCAUCAGAUGUGCCCAGAUGGGAUUAGCUAGUUGGGGGGGUAAUGGCUCACUUAGGCGACUAUCCCUACCUGGUCUGAGAGGAUGACCAGGCAAACGGGAACUGAGACAGUGUCCAGACUCCUACGGGAGGCAGCAGUGGGGAAUAUUGGACAAGUGGAGAAAGCCUGAUGCAGCCAUGCCGCGUGGGUUAAGAAGGCCUUCGGGUUGUAAAGCACUUUCAGUGGGGAGGCGUUACUCGCAGAAGAAGCACCGGCUAACUCCGUGCCAGCAGCCGCGGUAAUAC
rnacentral:rRNA from 1 species